rnacentral:lncRNA from 1 species
GGGUGACAGGGUGAGACUCUGUCUCAAAAAACAAAACAAAACAAAACAAAACAAAAUAAAAAUAAAACCCAAGACCCUAGCAAGGCAGAGACACACAAGCAGCUGGAUGUUGUAAGGAAUACAUCGGUGGAAGAAGACAUAAGUGGCUGGUUGUCAAGAGCAUGCCGAAGGAAGAGCACACUGACAGGCACCAGCAGGCCAGCACACCAGUAGGCCAACAACUGGCAGAACGACAUGGAGUUUGGCCGAGGCAGCUGGAAGAGAGCCCAGGCUGCCGAGUGGCCCGACUCCAGGGGAAAACAGUCUCCCUCUGGCUCCCUCGUCUGCUGAGAGCUACUUCCAGUCAAUAAAACCUUGCACUCAUUCUCCAAGCCCACAUGUGAUCUGAUUCUUCCAGUACACCAAGGCAAGAAACCUUGGGGUACAGAAAGCCCUCUGCCCUUGUGACAAGGUAGAGGGUCUAAUUGAGCUGACCAACACAAGCCACCUAUAGAUGGCAGGCUAAAAGAGCACCCUGUAACACACGCCCACUGGGGCUUCAGGGGCCAUAAACAUUCAUUCCUAGACAUUGGCAUGGGGUCAGAGCCCACAGCCUGCCCGUCUGUAUGCUCCCCUAGAGGUUUGAGCAGCUGGGCACUGAAGAAGUGAGUCACACCCCCAUCACACUCCCUGCAAGGGGAGCAAGGGAACCUUUCCCAUUUCAACUGGGGGCUCGCCCGGGAUCCUGGAAGAAACCCUCAAACUCCAAACCGUCAGGCAACCGGAGCCUCAAACGAUGGCUCCCCUUUGCUAGGAACCCUUAGAUAGACCUCUGGGAGGAGUCUGACUGCCGUUUUCCCCAAAACAACGCCCCUGUCAACAGGAAACAGCUAAGACCGGUCAUCGUCCAUAUUCUAGUGGCAGUUAGAUGUACCUCUUUAAAGGGGGGAUAUGAUAAGGGAGUGCUGGGAAGGGAAGAGCGUGGUCCCUUUAAAUGAUACAGAAGCAGAGAGGGGAAGAGCUGGGUAGAAGAAGGCGGGUUCCUGGCUAGGGCUUCACCCCCAAGGACCUAGGUGAGGACAGGCACUUCUGCUUUCACGUCCAAAUGUUGCAAUUUCCAAGACCACCCUGGCCCACCACCACCUGGCCCCAUCCUGGGCCUAUAAAAACUGAGACCUUAACAAGGCAGAGACACACAAGCGACUGGACAUUGUGAGGAACACAUAGGUGGAAGAAGACACAAGCGGCUGAUCGUCGAGAGCACGCAGGCAGAAGAGCACAUUGACAGGCACCGGCAUGCCCGCAGGCCAUCAACUGGUGUAAUGACAUGGAGUUUGGCUGGGGCAGUCUGAGGAGAGCCUGGGCUGCCGAGCUGCCCAACUCCAGGGGAAAACAAUUUCCCUCUGGCUCCCCUGUCUGCUGAGAGCUACUUCCACUCAAUAAAACCUUGCACUCAUUCUGCAAGCCCAUGUGUGAUCUGAUUCUUCUAGUACACCAAGGCAAGAAACCCAGGGAUACAGAAAGCCCUCUGUCCUUGAGACAAGGUAGACGGUCUAAUUGAGCUGACUAACACAAGCUGCCUAUGGAUGGCAAACUAAAAGAUCACCCUGUAACACACGCCCACUGGGGCUUCAGAAGUUGUAAACAUUCACCCCUAGACACUGCCAUGGCAUCAGAGCCCCAC